ensembl:lncRNA
GUCCUCUCCAAAUCAAACCAUUUUCUUUGAUGACUCUGCGAUAGACUGGAGAUGGCCAGGAGGUUGCAAGAAAACAGAGCAAGGAGGAGAGCUGACGCAAAGAGACCGAUGGGACACUGCAUGCAGAAUGAGGGCAUGAUCAGCAAGAUCAGCUCACAUCAAAGUAGGCGCUGUGAGAAGAGAUCUCCAAAAGAUGUUGGGGGAAGCGCAAUGGACCAUGGCGUGUCCUCGUGUCCCUGCCCUCCUGCUGCUGGUGGUGUUUGGUACUGGUGUGAACACCUGGGACAUCUGUAGCUCCAGGACUGAUGGUACUCUCCAGGCUCCAGUCCUGGUCCUUAGCACUUCCAGAGCUCAGGAAGGAGAAGUCGUCCUGGCUCAUUGUUUCCUUCGGAAGAUAAUACCUGCUACCCGGAUAGUCUUCUGCAAGGAUGGGAUGGAGCUGUACAACAUGAAAGCCCAAGAGGACGUGGUCAUCUACUCCAUGCUGCUGAACAUCUCUGCAAGAAGCAGUGGGACAUACGCGUGUGGGUACCAGCAGAGGAACGAGAGCAAUUGGCUAAGGAGCUCUCCCCUUAGCACUCCCUUGGACCUACAUGUCGCAGUCAUUGCGGUGACAUCACUAGCUUUCACCCUCCUGCUGUCUGCAGCCACCUUUUGGACCAUCAAGAAAGGUACCUGCAGAGAGGGAUGCCAAAGGCAGCAGCACAUUCCCAGCCAGCAGAUGGAAGCCACCAACUAUGGAGAAAUCCAGUAUGCCACCGUUGUCCACUUUCAAAGGGACAAGAAAAACAGCAAAUCAUGAGAUGCAUUUUCUAGCCACAAAUCACACUCUCCUCUCUGACCUCUGCAAAUAUCUCCCCUUAUUGCUGCUACCAAAAUUGUGUGGUUUCUCCUCAGAAGCUCCAAAAAUUGUUCCAUCCGAAGAGCUGAACAUAUUUGAGUGUUUUAAAAAGAGUAUGGAGGGGGAAAACCUCACCAACAAUUAUGAAGAGGAAAGAGGCCAUCUAGCAAGCAAGUGCUCCCCCAUAUCUGCUCUUAUUUAUGCUAAUUGUCUCCUGCCUGCUUCUCUAGUGUUCAUGUAUCCUUCCAGGGCACUUGGAGCCUUCUCGUGCAGGGCUUGCAGGCUGUAGCUGUAAUAACAGGGCUUUCCUUUCCCCUCCAGCCUCCCGUGAAGCAGAUGACCAACAAGAGUCCAAUUGGCUGCAGCAUGCCAAGGGCACUGGGAUUGGGUCACAAACAAUGUGUUUUCUUGCAGAGGGCUCUUGGGGCAGAACAUGGGGCUCUUUGGGUUUAUGGGUUUUGCUCUCCUGUUACAUCUAGCCAAUAAGAUGUAUGACUUGCUUAUGUAUGGACCCCCUGAAAAAUCAAUAAAGUAUCAGUG